CCGCGAGGUGGAGCAAAACCCAAAAAAGACAGUCUCAGUUCGGAUUGAAGGCUGAAAUUCGCCUUCAUGAAGCCGGAAUUGCUAGUAAUGGCAGGUCAGCAUACUGCCGUGAAUACGUUCCCGGGCCUUGUACACACCGCCCGUCACACCAUGAGAGUCGGGAACACCCGAAGUCCGUAGUCUAACCGCAAGGGGGGCGCGGCCGAAGGUGGGUCCGGUAAUUGGGGUGAAGUCGUAACAAGGUACC
rnacentral:rRNA from 1 species